GUGGGGGGCUGAUGGACACUCCAUGCUUCCAUAGGAUCAGCUCCAGAGGGGGGUUAAUGCAAAGAGCAUCCUGGAGGUGUAGCUGUCACUUGUCACCUUCUGGGUUAUGGGGCAGAUUCCAGAAGCUAUUUCUCUUUGAUGAUGUUUUCCCUGAAACUGGAGCUAGUUGACUUCAGGGAAAGAACAUUCACUGGGUGCUAACUGUGCCAGCCACACAUUGAUUUUAGAUUCCUACAAAUGAAAAUUCUGGAUCAUAGGCACUAUUUUGAUGGCACAAAACUAGAAACAAUCCAAAUUCCCAUCAAGAGGGAACUGAUCGGAUAAACUGAAGCACAUCCACCAGGUGCAUCCACUUUCUAAC